rnacentral:rRNA from 1 species
UACAGAGGGUGCGAGCGUUGUUCGGAAUUAUUGGGCGUAAAGCGCUUGUAGGCGGCUUGUUAAGUCGGCGUGUGAAAUCCCCAGGCUCAACCUGGGAAGUGCGCGCGAAACUGGCGAGCUUGAAUGCCGGAGAGGGUCGCGGAAUUCCCGGUGUAGAGGUGAAAUUCGUAGAUAUCGGGAGGAACACCAGUGGCGAAGGCGGCGACCUGGACGGACAU